rnacentral:rRNA from 1 species
GAUGAACGCUGGCGGCGUGCCUAAUACAUGCAAGUCGAACGAGGUGCCUUUGUAGCAAUACGAAGGUAUCCUAGUGGCGAACGGGUGAGUAACGCGUUGGUGACCUACCCCAAAGUGUGGGAUAACAGAUCGAAAGAUCUGCUAAUACCGCAUGUGGUCUUCGGAUUUAGAAACUGAUGACUAAAGGAGCAAUUCGCUUUGGGAGGGACCUGCGUCCCAUCAGCUAGUUGGUGAGGUAAUGGCUCACCAAGGCUACGACGGGUAGGGGACCUGAGAGGGUGGCCCCCCACAAUGGAACUGAAACACGGUCCAUACACCUACGGGUGGCAGCAGUAGGGAAUAUUGCACAAUGGGCGAAAGCCUGAUGCAGCAACGCCGCGUGUGCGAUGAAGGCCUUCGGGUCGUAAAGCACUUUUCUGAGGGAUGAGCAAGGACAGUACCUCAGGAAUAAGUCUCGGCUAACUACGUGCCAGCAGCCGCGGUAAU